GAUGAACGCUAGCGGCAGGCUUAAUACAUGCAAGUCGAGGGGCAGCGCAGUGUAGCAAUACAUGGGCGGCGACCGGCAAACGGGUGCGGAACACGUACACAACCUUCCUACAAGUGGGGAAUAGCCCAGAGAAAUUUGGAUUAAUACCCCGUAACAUAGCGAUGUGGCAUCACAUUGCUAUUAUAGCUUCGGCGCUUGUUGAUGGGUGUGCGGCUGAUUAGAUAGUUGGCGGGGUAACGGCCCACCAAGUCUACGAUCAGUAGCUGAUGUGAGAGCAUGAUCAGCCACACGGGCACUGAGACACGGGCCCGACUCCUACGGGAGGCGGCAGUAAGGAAUAUUGGACAAUGGACGCAAGUCUGAUCCAGCCAUGCCGCGUGAAGGAUUAAGGUCCUCUGGAUUGUAAACUUCUUUUAUAAGGGACGAAAAAAGGUCUUUCUAGAUCGUCUGAUGGUACCUUAUGAAUAAGCACCGGCUAACUCCGUGCCAGCCGCCGCCGUAAUAC
rnacentral:rRNA from 1 species